rnacentral:lncRNA from 1 species
UUUAUUUAUUUACUUAUUUAUUUCAGCUGGGACUUCAAUGUACCUUUCGACCAGGCAAAAUAGUGAUCAUCUGAUUUUUGGGGAAGCUUCUCAAAAUAAUUUUAUGGACGUCUACAUAGGACAGUUAAGGACUGAAUGUCUUUCCUAUAGAGAUUAUGAUGAUAUUAAAAUCAAAAAGUGCCAAACCCCAUCAUUUUGAAUAUACACCUAGGGUCACACCGUUCAUGAGGCAAACAAGACUAAAAAUUGGUAAUUGAUUACAACAGGUAAGCUCCUCUGACAGAAGGCGUUUGGAGUCUUCAAAAGGUGCAGCUGAAAGAUCAAAUGUGAAAUUAAAGUUUAAUGAAGGUGAUGGUUGUUCCUCUACCCAUUUCCCCCCGCCCCGGGGGAUCAGAAGAUCAUUUAAUAAGGCUGUUUUUAUACACAAAUGCAACUUGUUUAUUUUGACCUCAGUUCUUCGAAAUUGUCGACGCCACACUGAAAUAUGCUGUGUGUUCCAACAAGGACCCAGCAGUCGUAAUGACAGACCAGCCCAUCUGUGCUGCGAGAAUGUAUAAUUUCAGUCUAUAGUGGAAUUUAUAUAGAAGCGAGAUCAUGUGAAAACUGAGAUGCGUGGUACUUUCUUCGAAAAAAAUAUCGCUACAUGAUAUUUGGUCUCAUCUAACUAUCCCAACUGCAUAAGAUGUAUGCUGGAAAAUGUAUUAUCCAGAUACAGUAAGACGAUUAGAGGAACAGAACCUCAGAGGAAGAUACUAAUUUAGAGGGAAAAUGCUCAUUUAUGGAGAUUAAUUGAUUUUAUACUACCUGCCCCUACCCUGUCCAAAAAGACGGCGAGUUAACUCUCAGGAAAUGGGACUAUCGCUCCAGGAUUUAGAAUUAAAGGCCGAUUCACCAACAUUAAUUAUAACAAAAAAUAAAAUUAAAAAAAAAAGGAGGAGUGGGCAGCUCUGAGAAGUCUAAAUUCUUUCCAAAUGAUUACCCCCCUCCCCGCCCCCUCUACCAGCUUCUCUAGUCUCUCGACUCCUCUGCCUUUAGAAUUUAUGACACUCUGUUUCUUGCUAUUACUUUUAUUUUGCCACCAGUGUUUUAUUUGGUGCUUGCUAAAUAUUUGGGUGGAGUGAUCUUCCAGCUUGCAGCAGCAGAAUGUGGCUGUCAUAGUCAUGAAAAUGUUUUAAUUAUCUCUGCUACAGAGAUGCCUGUCUCUGCAGCCCCAAGUCCUCCAGUACCGACUGCUGUCUAAUCUAAGAACAAAAGCGGCCGCAGAUAUUCCUCGUGCGCUGAGCUCACUUUCAACAUUUGCUGGUGUCUGCUCCGGCCAGCCGGCGGCUCAGGCCGGCACGCACAGGACCCGAAAGCCUCUGAUGCCAGAAAAUAACCAAAAAACCUAUUUACGUGGGAAUUUUCCUCUGAGUUGCACCCCAGCACUUCCUGGGCCUGAUCUCCCAUGUUCUGUAAAUCAAGACCCUGGCUACCCUCGAACGUGGGGAACCCAGGCUGUGUCUGCGGGAGCUUUGUCAGCCUGCCAGAGGAGCGAGGUGAGCUUGGAGCUGCACUCUGCAAAGACCACGUCUUAAAUGAAAAGCUUCAGGGACCAACAGAGAAACGCGGGCAGCCAUGGACCCCAGUUCCUGGACAGCAGCGGCAGCGUGGCCUGGGGACUGACUCCCUGCCCGACGGUCCACCGUUCAGCCCUGGCCAGUCAGGAUGGCUGGGGCCACAGCUCUGCAGGUGGGAAACCAGGACAGGAUCAGGGCACAGGCAGGCCCUGGGACCACUCAGGGCCCCCGAGGGCUGGUCUGGUGGACGUGCCCCCCGUGAGCCGUCUGUGGGCAGGGCAGUUAUAAACCAGGCAGGGCAAGGCUAGCUGGAAGCCCCGGGCUUAAAUAAGUGCUUAAAAAAACAAAGCCCCAAACAACCGAAGAGAUUUCCCCCACACUGAGCUGAGCACCGAAAAGAGCUUCUUCUUCCCCCCCCGGCCCCCCCAAAAAUAAAAUAAAAGGGAGAAAGAACUGGAUUCCUAAACUUGUGGACAUGGCAGCAUUCAAGAUGCCGGAUGAAAUGAAAGGGCCUCUGUUUCUCAAAGCAGCACCCACCCUCCCGUGUGCCAGCCUGGCCCUGCCUGCCGAGGAGUUUGCUGGAAGGAGCAUGGAUGGUUCUGGUGUUUUUCCCUGUGCCAC